UACGUAGGGGGCAAGCGUUAUCCGGAUUUACUGGGUGUAAAGGGAGCGUAGACGGCAUGGCAAGUCAGAUGUGAAAGCCCGGGGCUCAACCCCGGGACUGCAUUUGAAACUGUCAGGCUGGAGUGCUGGAGAGGUAAGCGGAAUUCCUAGUGUAGCGGUGAAAUGCGUAGAUAUUAGGAGGAACACCAGUGGCGAAGGCGGCUUACUGGACUGUAACUGACGUUGAGGCUCGAAAGCGUGGGGAGCAAACAGG
rnacentral:rRNA from 1 species